GUUUGAUCAUGGCUCAGGAUGAACGCUAGCUACAGGCUUAACACACGCAAGUCGAGGGGCAGCAUGAACUUAGCUUGCUAAGUUUGAUGGCGACCGGCGCACGGGUGAGUAACACGUAUCCAACCUGCCGAUGACUCGGGGAUAGCCUUUCGAAAGAAAGAUUAAUACCCGAUGGCAUAGUUCUUCCGCAUGGUAGAACUAUUAAAGAAUUUCGGUCAUCGAUGGGGAUGCGUUCCAUUAGGUUGUUGGCGGGGUAACGGCCCACCAAGCCUUCGAUGGAUAGGGGUUCUGAGAGGAAGGUCCCCCACAUUGGAACUGAGACACGGUCCAAACUCCUACGGGAGGCAGCAGUGAGGAAUAUUGGUCAAUGGACGAGAGUCUGAACCAGCCAAGUAGCGUGAAGGAUGACUGCCCUAUGGGUUGUAAACUUCUUUUAUACGGGAAUAAAGUGAGGCACGUGUGCCUUUUUGUAUGUACCGUAUGAAUAAGGAUCGGCUAACUCCGUGCCAGCAGCCGCGGUAAUACGGAGGAUCCGAGCGUUAUCCGGAUUUAUUGGGUUUAAAGGGAGCGUAGGCGGACGCUUAAGUCAGUUGUGAAAGUUUGCGGCUCAACCGUAAAAUUGCAGUUGAUACUGGGUGUCUGAGUACAGUA
rnacentral:rRNA from 1 species